UGGGGAAUAUUGGACAAUGGGCGAAAGCCUGAUCCAGCCACGCCGCGUGUGUGAUGAAGGCCUUCGGGUCGUAAAGCACUGUGGAGAGGGAAGAACUCAAUGACGGUACCUCUUUAGCAAGCACCGGCUAACUCCGUGCCAGCAGCCGCGGUAAUACGGAGGGUGCUAACGUUGCUCGGAAUUAUUGGGCGUAAAGCGCACGUAGGCGGCCAAGUGUGUCGGAUGUGAAAGCCCUCGGCUUAACCGAGGAAGUGCAUUCGAAACUACUAGGCUUGAGUACGGGAGAGGGUAGCGGAAUUCCCGGUGUAGAGGUGAAAUUCGUAGAUAUCGGGAGGAACACCAGUGGCGAAGGCGGCUACCUGGACCGAUACUGACGCUCAGGUGCGAAAGCGUGGGGAGCAAACAGG
rnacentral:rRNA from 1 species